UUCUUCUAGAGUUGCUGGGUUCAUCUCUUUCCUUCCUCCAUUUGUAAGUUUUCUGAGAGUGUCUCAUCUAAAAUUCUUUCUCCUACUUCUCAUCUUUAGAAGAGUCCAAAUCAAGAAGAAGGAGGCAUCUGAUCGACCAUCGAAGAAGGAUCAGUGCAGUACUAGCAUACUGUGCUGAUUUUCUGGACCAGAACUUCUGAUCAUGAUUCAUGGGCUCUUGUGGAUGACUUCUAG
rnacentral:lncRNA from 1 species